rnacentral:rRNA from 1 species
UACGUAGGGGGCAAGCGUUGUCCGGAAUCAUUGGGCGUAAAGAGCGUGUAGGCGGCCAGAUAAGUCCGCUGUGAAAUCUCCAGGCUCAACCUGGAGGGGUCAUUCGAUACUGCCAUGACUAGAGGUCGGUAGGGGAGUGUGGAAUUCCUGGUGGAGCGGUGAAAUGCGCAGAUAUCAGGAGGAACACCGAUGGCGAAGGCAGCUCGCUGGGACGGUACUGACGCUGAGGCGCGAAAGCGUGGGGAGCAAACAGG